GCCGUGAGGCGCGCGGUCAGCCGGCUUCGGGUGCCCGGCCCUAUGGCAGCCACGGAAAGCUCCCGCGUGGUUCUCAGAAACAGUUUCCCUCUGCGCUGGGAGCAGUUUGAUGAAGAUUUUUAAGUGAAAAAAAAAGAAAAAAAGAAGAAGCGUAUUUUGAGUGGCUUACCAAGGCUGAAGGCGUCCAGGUUCCCAAAGGGUUCCAGGUGUCGGUACCUGAGAACGGCUGGUUUAAUGCUGCGCCGUGUCGAGCUAAAAGCAGUGGGAGGAUGUUGAGACGCCUAUCGCAUGUAAUCAGAAGUAAUUACACUCUACAGAUACCAGCCACAACGAUUCUUGCUGUACAGAGAUGCGUUACAUCUUUUUGUGCUGAGAGAAUUUUAGUGUGGUAGGGAAAAUAUUCCAUCACAGAACUGCAGCCACGACAAAAUGAAGGCAGAAUGUGUGUUUUUACACACAGAAUAUGCAGAACAGCAGGUAUGCAGGGACUGUGUGUUGGUUUACCUACGCAAUACUUCUGUUCCUUUGUCUACAUCCAACUGAGGUGACGUUUUUUCUCUUGCUUUAAACUUUUCCUAAGCAUUAUGUGGCCAACAGGGUGAAUUUGCACGAAUCCGUAUUCCAAAACUUGGAUCCUACUGAAAUUGAAAUCUGUGAAGUGUUCCAAUUGCUGCAGAGUAAGUGGGCUCUGACUCCUAAUACAACUGCUUAGAUAGAGCUCUCACUGCUGAGCCAGCAACGCAGGCUGUCCAUACAAGGUGCUCAUUACCUCAUGCUUUUGGUGUCAGCCAAGCUUCUGCCUCUAAUUUUUCCAAACAUCUAAAAUUUGUACUGAUGAAACACAGGAAAAGAAAGAAAGAAAGAAAGGAAAAAAAAAAAAACCAGCAACAACCAACCAAGAGGUUCACAGAGAUAAAUGACUCUGCUGCAGCUUUGAAGGGCUGUUUUUGUCUGUUUUGUCUUCAUCUUGAACUAUUUAGGGAGGUGCUUUCUUGUGUCUUUUGUCACUUGAAAAUCCCAUUUAGCCUCAGUGGAAUCACAUACAUGGAUCACAGAUCUGAUGUGAACUCUUUGCACAGAGUGGAGGAUUUCUUCCAGCUCAGAGGGAAUCUGUUUCAAAAUCAGUUUUUCGGUACAACAGGACAUAAGCAACUUCCAUUAAAGGACAGACAGCCUUCACUGAAGCUACUUAGAGGAAGCUGCUCUGCAAGAAAAAGAAGAUCCUGUGAGCACUCAAGGUCAACGCUCAAUGAGGCACAACUGGAGACAGAAGGCAGUUCCAUGAAGCACAGCUCCUGCUUUUUCCCUGCUGUUCUUGGUCCAGGUGAGUGAAGCCUAAGCUGUGAGAAGUUUGCAUUUGCACUUUGGCAGCCUCCUGUGCUGUUGAGCACAGCAUCGAGAAAACAAUUUCCCAACCAUAUUGUUAGAGAGCUCCGUGCAAAAGGAUUGUCUGACAAAAGCUAUUCAUUCUGAUCACAUGAAGGUUCCUUACAGUUUCCUGAUUAAAGGAAUUGUCUCCUAAAGCAACUGAUGACAACGAAUCAGCUUCUAGCUCCUUGACUGCAGACGUGCGAUCCUCCUUACCCUGCUGGCAGGAGACUUUUGCAACCCCCUGAUGCUUUUGGGAGUUUCAAGGUCCUGUCAGCUGGAGCAGUGAAUGCCCGCAUCCCCUGGAAACUGCAGUAGUAUCCUGCUGCCUUAUAAAGGUUGAUAAUUGGAGAUGUAACAUCAUACACUGCAAAGAAUUAAGCAUGAAUGAUUCUAGAUCAUGAAAAAAAUCUGGGCAAGCUUGAAAAGCUCUUCCCCAGGGACAACAUUCCAGCUGGGGCUGAUGGUGCUGUGUGUGUGCACAUAAUGCCAUCCAUCAUGAGCUGCCUGUUUUCCCAACAGUGUGAGUGGGACUCUGGUACAACCCAGAGAGGACGUAGAGGAUGUGGUGAAAGAAACCCCUGACCUUGCUCCCUUCUAUGAAUUUUGAGUCUAGAUAAGACAAUCAUCUUGUUAUACUACUUCUUAGGAGUCUAAUCAUAUUACAGGACAUUGUAUUUCACCUGUUAGCUUCAAGACACCUUGUGAAUGGCUGAACGUGUCAGGAAAAGCUCUCUUGUGCUUCAGAUGUGAAUCAUUGACUGGAUUGUAAAAGGCAAAGGCAAUCAAUCAACUCCAAUCUGAGAGUUGUUGUUCAUGUGGGUAACGUAUCUUGAAGCUUUAAUCAUCUGCGUACCCUUUCGGAAGUAAUUUCUACAAAUAAAUUCCAAAUGUCAGAUAUAUUUCAUCAUUUAGCUUCAGCAUAUGGAAGUAAAAGUUGAAAGAAGCAAUUCACGGUCAUUUCUUACUGGGAAGAAAAUGAAGGGAAAAAUCCUUGCAGAAGAAAGAGAAGAAAAAGGAAGCCGCAGGAAAGUAUUGCGAGCUGAUUUGUGGACACUCCCCCAAAAGGUCAUGGGAGGUAAUGGAAGGAAUGAAACUGGUGAUGGAAAUCAGCAACACAGACAAACAUCCAAAAAAAUACAAUCUUCAAGGGAGCAGCAGGCAAUCAGGCAGGGGUUCUGUGAGAAUCCACAAACCUCAUGUCAGUGCUAAAAUAGGACAGCCAUCAGCUCUGCUCCACAUCACGCCCACGUGCAAAAGAGCCCAGCACCCAGAGCUCCAUCACAACCAGCUGCAGUUUGAGCACACACAGCCUCAGGCUUUGGCAAAAGCGCGUGAAGACCAGGUUUAUUUGGGCAGGGCUGGAUGAUGCUGGCAGAGAAGCAUCCACCCUUCGGUGUGAAAGUGGAAGGAGCUGAACUUUGAACUCUGAGAUAAGCAAAUCUGAACAUGAAAUAAGACAGUGGCAUGUUGGACUUAAGCUGGCCUUUAUAUAAAAACAGUGCACAGAAUGCCUUCUGUUCUUGAUUUUAUGUUCCACAAGUAGACUCUAAGACUCUGCUUUUCCUCCCCACCACUGGAGCUGUAUUAAGGCCCAGCAAUUCGGCAAUCCUGGCUCUUCUGAUCCUGGUAAUUUUAAAUGGUGUUGUGACCCUAAGAACAAAAGCAGUUUCCCUCUCCACUGUAUUUUGGUUGUUCUGGGACACGUUCUGUCCUGUAAUCAAUAGAGUUUAAAAAUAAAUUUACGUUGUGCUUUUCAAACAUAAAAAUAUUUUCCC
ensembl:lncRNA